UCGUAUGAUGACUAUCCUGAUAGGGACAGCUUAUGCAACUUGCAAAUGAUGUCACCAGGCGAGAGAUUUUAGUAGAUGCUUCUCGGUUUUCUGAUU
rnacentral:snoRNA from 1 species